rnacentral:lncRNA from 1 species
GGGAUCUAGUUUACCUGCUUCUUAUGAGAAUCUAACUAAUGCCUGAUGAUCUGUCACUGCCUCCCAUCACCCCCAGAAAGACUGUCUAGUUGAAGGAAAACAAGCUCUGGGCUCCCACUGAUUCUACGUUAUGGUAAGAGAAGAAAAUAAGUGCAACAUGCCAGAAAUCCAGUAAAGCAGUUCAAGUAUCAGAAGAGCGUGAAUCAAAACCAAGUGCAAGAAGAGGCACCUUGACAUUGAACUGAAGGCCACCAGGUACUCACUGGGUCAAUGACUCUUCUCAUUUUUAUUCUCCUGCCAGUGCUUCCAAUCGCUGAACUGAACUGGGAACAAAUCAACAAGGG